rnacentral:rRNA from 1 species
GGAGGAAAGCAGGGGAUCGUAAGACCUUGCGCUUUUGGAGCGGCCGAUGUCUGAUUAGCUUGUUGGUAAGGUAAAAGCUUACCAAGGCUUCGAUCAGUAGCUGGUCUGAGAGGACGACCAGCCACACUGGGACUGAGACACGGCCCAGACUCCUACGGGAGGCAGCAGUGGGGAAUUUUGGACAAUGGGGGCAACCCUGAUCCAGCCAUGCCGCGUGAGUGAAGAAGGCCUUCGGGUUGUAAAGCUCUUUCAGCCGGAACGAAACGGUUACGGUUAAUACCCGUGACUACUGACGGUACCGGAAGAAGAAGCACCGGCUAACUACGUGCCAGCAGCCGCGGUAAUACGUAGGGUGCAAGCGUUAAUCGGAAUUACUGGGCGUAAAGCGUGCGCAGGUGGUUUUGUAAGUCAGAUGUGAAAUCCCCGGGCUUAACCUGGGAACUGCGUUUGAAACUACAAAGCUA